AUUGAACGCUGGCGGCAGGCCUAACACAUGCAAGUCGAACGAGUGGCGGACGGGUGAGUAAUGUCUGGGAAACUGCCCGAUGGAGGGGGUAAAUAACGGGAACGGUAACUUAUAACGCAAUCCCACGGGAGUGGCCCUAUGGGAUUAGCUGGUAGGUGGGGGAAUGGCUCACCUAGGCGACGAUCCCUAGCUGGUCUUAGAGGAUGACCAGCCACACUGGAACUGAGACACGGUCCAGACUCCUACGGGAGGCAGCAGUGGGGAAUAUUGCACAAUGGGCGCAAGCCUGAUGCAGCCAUGCCGCGUGUAUGAAGAAGGCCUUCGGGUUGUAAAGUACUUUCAGCGAGGAGGCGUAAAUCGCAGAAGAAGCACCGGCUAACUCCGUGCCAGCAGCCGCGGUAAUAG
rnacentral:rRNA from 1 species